CGUCAGUCCCGCUGUCUGUGUCAAAUCAGAAAAAGAACCUGACCGUGAUGAUUAGAGUAAGAGGCUGUGAAGACCGCCGCCUCCUCGCACGGCCCACACCGUCGAGUGUCCAGAGAUGGACGGGAGAAGCUGCCACAGUGGCAUGGCCUUAUUUGCUGAUCUUAACAGUAUUUGCCAUGAGAGGCUGCAUGACUUGGAGCCAGUCAAUCUACGGUGACAGCAAAGCAGUUGUGACUCUAAUGUACUGCCACCAAAAACACUUUUUUUUCUGUCUCUCAGCCUUAGCAGGAUCAUCUGAGCCACUGCCAGUUCAAAGUGAGCUGGGGCUGCUUUUCCAGGAGGGCAGUUGGGGACCUGACUUUUGAGGAGAUUCUGAGGUUUACCGAAGGAGCAAACCCUAUGGGGUUAGACAGUGUUUUGUGAAAUCUGAGCUCUGCCUUCUCUGUCCUUCAGUUACUGCCUCUGUAAAAUGGGGGUGUGGACACUGUAGACAUUAAAUGGCAGUGUAUAAAGGAGGCACCAUCUGGAGCAUUUGCCCAGCCCGCAGUGAUGCCAUUUGUCUGAGAAGGUUGUACGGAUCAUUUCUGGUUUGAAUCUCAGCCCUCUUCCCAGCUCAGCCACCAGCCAUCUGGAAUUGUGGGAGAGGUCAGACGGCUGCAAAGCCUGUAUGUGGAAUUGGAACUAAAUACGCAUAUUUAUCAGUAUUUAAUGGAAGACUGCAGGAUGUUUGCAGAGUCUACAGAAGGCACUGUUAAGGUGGCUCUUUUAGUCUGGGAGCAAGAACUGGGCAGUGGAUGCCUCAGGGGCUGA
rnacentral:antisense_RNA from 1 species